GACACCACACCACCGUCGCCCACAUCUACACCUAAGAAAGAGGCGGAGGAAGCCAACAGGGGUGCAGAUGAAGCCGGUGAUGAAGAGGAGGACACCAACGAUGCAGAGGCCAACGCGGACGUGGAUAUGAUGAGCCAAACCCAAGAUGAAGAAAUGGGCGCUGAUGAACCAAACCCAGAGGAAAACCAGGAACAAGAUGUGAAGCAAGGCAAAGGCAAAGAUGCAAGCGCUGGAAAUAACAAAGAUGAAGACACAGAUGCGGCUAAAAGCCAAGAGAAAGCCAAGGAAGAGGAGACUGAAGGAAAACCAGACCAGGAGGCAGAGGGUGAUGUGGAGAUGAAUACGCAGACGCUAACUGUAGAGAUGGAAGAUGUUUCCGACAUCAAUGAAUCCGGCACCAGCAACGUAGAUAUGAAGGAGGAAGUUAAGACUCAACCAGAUUUGAAUGCUACUGACAACUCGCAGUCCAAAGACACUGACCGUGAGAAGAAAGAUUGACCAGCUGAGGGGCAGACAAUCAACCUCAUCUGACAGCCAGCAAACUGUGCGGACCCCCAGAGCCCACGUACAGGGCAGCUCUGGCACCAACCAGGGCAAAAGAGCAAAACCAGUUACCCACCACGCUCACAUCCCACUUUUCUUUGCCUUUUCUCUUGAUUCAAACAUUAGACUCACCCCCAAAACAAUGUAUGUAUAUGUAUCUAUGUAUUAAUGUACAUACUGAACCUAUAGGACUUGAACAUAUCAACCAGACGAUGAGCCAUACCUCACUGUGUGUUAGCCAUUUACCAUUAACUGCUGUGUGUCUGAGAGAGAGAGAAUACUAGGUCUUUUUGAUUUCAGUCUGCAAUAACAUCUUCAAUUCAAUACAUAACAUCAGAUUUUGUUUUUACAAGUUUGACAGUAUAAAAAAUAAUACCUGUACACGCAGUGAAUUAUAUGAGGUCUGACUUCUCCAUAGCGCUGGAUAGAGGUGCACUAUGUCACUUUUCUGGCGGAGAGUACGCCACUUGCUUGUCUCUAUGGAGAUG
ensembl:lncRNA